GAUGAACGCUGGCGGCGUGCCUAAUACAUGCAAGUCGAGCGAACAGACGAGGAUCUUGCUCCUCUGACGCUAGCGGCGGACGGGUGAGUAACACAUUGAUAACCUAUCUAUUAUACUGUGAUAACUUCGGGAAACCGGAGCUAAUACCUGAUAAUAUAUUCAACCUCAUGGUUCAAUAGUGGAAUACGGUUUUGCUGUCACUUAUAGAUGUAUUCGGGCCGUAUUAGAUAGUUGGUAAGGUAACGGCUUACCAAGGCAACGAUGGGUAGCCGACCUGAGAGGGUGAUAGGCCGCACUGGAGGUGGGACGGGGUCAAGACUCCUGCGGGAGGGAGCAGAAGGGAAUGGUAGGCAGUGGGGGAGAGCAUGACGGAGCAACGCGAAGUGAGAGGUGAAGGUGUUCGGAUCGUGAUACUCUGUUAUUAGGGAAGAACAAAUGUGUAAGUAAAUAUAGAGGUAUUGACGGUAACGAGUAAGAAAGCAACGGCUAACUACGUG
rnacentral:rRNA from 1 species